GUUCCCUGCGCAUUUUCAACAACAGAAGUAAAGAAUCACAGCAACAACGCACGCAGCAGAGUCUCUCUCUCCGGUGCAGUACAGAGAGGCAGUGCGGUGCUGUAGGGCACAAAGUGAAAAAGAGGGGGCGCAUCGGAUGCCGAUUGAAAGCUCCGCUCCUUUCCCCCCUCCUCCUCCUCCUCAUCAUCAUCAACAUUCUCUCCGCCUUCCUUUCUAACCCCUGAAACUGCUUCUAGCCGUAACACUAAUCUCUCUUCCCCUCCUUGCCGCCUCUUCCGUCUCCGCCGAUGGCUGCGCCGCGCGCGCGGGAGCCGCCGCCGCCACCCGUCAUCGGGAAGGCCGGGAGGCUGACUGUCUUCAUCACCCCGCCGCCGACGCCGAAGCCCUUCCCCAGCCCUAGGCCGAGCCCCGGAAAGGCGAGUCGCUCGCCGGCGCCUCCGCCGUCUCCGACGCCGCGUCCGCCGCCGGUUCAGGUGCCGCCGCCGCGGUUCGAGAAGGCGGCACCGAGGUCGCCGGGAUCGGCGUUAGCGCUCUUGCAGGGCGCGGUCGCGAGAGUCCAAGAAGUGCAUUCGAGCUUGGAUGAGUACUUAGCGAAUUUGUUUGGGUUGAACCAGUCAAAGUAUCAGUGGGCAUUGAAUGACUACUACGAGAACCAAGGAAAGGACUAUGAAGGAAGCAAAUGUAGUAAACCUAAGGGAACUUACUAGCAAGGGGGAGACCAUAUUAAUAUGUCAAUAAUACUAUGGUUGCUUCUGCGCGCUCUCUCUCGCCCUCUCUUUUGAGCUCAGUUUAUCGACGGAAUGUAUGUUUGUUCAGCAGUACAAGUUAUUCCUGUAAUUGUUGUGCAAUACAAGGGGGGAGUGCAGUUAAUAGAUUUUGUGCGCUUCUAGUGAGGGCAAAAAGGAAAAAAAUAAUAAUACAGCAUUGUAAGUGUGCAAACGAGAUCAUCAACAAUGACACAAGGGAACCUACACAGUUACAAUGACAAGAUCAACGGGAACGAUAAACUACCCGUGACAAUGAUGGCAAGAACAAUGAGGGAGAGCAUGUCAUGCCCUAGCAACCUUGUCUAUUUAAUAAGGUCCAGUACUCUACAGAGCAAACGCUGGGAAGAAAUACAGAGCAGAUGCUGGGGAGAAAAUGGCGUGAGCUACGACGGCAUCACCGUGACGGAAAAUGUUGGUAAUAGUGAUUAGCAAUGAAGCUUACACAUAUGUAUAUAUAUAUUUAUUCUGUUGCAGUGCUUAGAAUUAGAACGUGCUUUCUUACAUAUUCAGUUUCCAUACCACACUUUGUUAUUUUUUUUAUUUCAUAGCUUCAUCUGCGAACGAGAUACAGGAUUGUAAAAAGAGAGCCUAUUUUUUCUGGACCGAGUAAAGAUCAGCCCUUUUAUAAUUC